CCUACGGGGGACAGCAGUAGGGAAUAUUGCUCAAUGGGGGAAACCCUGACGCAGCAACGCCGCGUGAAGGAUGAGGUCUUCGGAUUGUAAACUCCUUUUGUUAGAGAAGAUAAUGACGGUAUCUACCGAAUAAGCACCGGCUAACUCCGUGACCGCCACAGCUGUACUACGGAAGGUGACAGCGUUACUCGGAAUCCAUGGGCGUAAAGGCCGCCUAGGCGGGAUAACAAGUCAGAUGUGAAAUCCUAGGGGUUAACCAUAGAACUGCAGUUGAAACUGUUAUUCUAGAGUAUGCGAGAGGUAGGUGGAAUGCUUGGUGUAGGGGGAAAAUCCGUAGAGAUCAAGAAGAAUACUGAUUGCGAAGGCGACAUGCUAGAACAUAACUGACGCUGAUGCGCGAAAGCGUGGGUAGCAAACAGGAUUAGAUACCCGUGUAGUC
rnacentral:rRNA from 1 species